rnacentral:rRNA from 1 species
UACGGAGGGAGCAAGCGUUGUUCGGAUUUACUGGGCGUAAAGGGCGCGUAGGCGGCGUGACAAGUCACUUGUGAAAUCUCCGGGCUUAACCCGGAACGGUCAAGUGAUACUGUCGUGCUAGAGUACAGAAGGGGCAACUGGAAUUCUCGGUGUAGCGGUGAAAUGCGUAGAUAUCGAGAGGAACACCUGCGGCGAAGGCGGGUUGCUGGGCUGAUACUGACGCUGAGGCGCGAAAGCCAGGGGAGCGAACGGG